GUGUGGUUUAGAGAAUGUUCUAGUUUCUUUUUUUUUUUUUGCAAGUAGCAGUCCAGUUUUUACAGCACUACUCAUCGAAGAUGUCUUUUCUCCAGUGUGUAUUCUUGCCUACCCUGUUGUGGAUUAGUUGACCAUAGAGUAAUGGGUUUACUUCUGGCUUUCUGUCCUGUUCCAUGUAACUGUAUCUGUUUUUGUGCCAGUUCCCCACUGUUGUGAUUUCUGUUGUUGUUGUUGCUUAGUCACUACGUCCUGUCUGACUCUUCUGCAACCCCAUGCAGUGCAGCCCACCAGGUUCCUCUGUCCAUGGGACUUCCCAGGCAAGAAUACUGGAGUGGGGUGCCAUUUCCUACUCCAGGGCAUCUUCUUGACCCAGGGGUCAAACCCAUGUGUACCAUGUCUCCUGCGUUGGCAGGCAGAUUCUUUACCACUGCACCACCUGUGGGGCUUCUGUGUGCACGAUUUUCAGAUUUUCUUUCAUCACAGAUUGUCACGAGUUAUUGAACAGUGUCCUGUGUUGUACACUAGGUCCGCGUUUAUUUUAUACGCAUCAGUGUGUCUGCUAAUCCCAAACUCCUGAUUCCUCUCUCCUCAUCCUUAACCCUUUAGAACCAUGUUUGUUUUCUGUGCGUGUUUCUGUUUUGUAAAUAAGUUCACUUUUUUUUAGAUUCCACAUAUAAGCAAUUCAUAUGCUUGUCUUUUUCUAUCAACUUGUGUGUUGGCGGAAGCCCCCCUUUGCGCCCCCUCUGCAAGCUGCCUCUCUCCCGGCAGCCCUUUGUCAAAACUCGUUCAGUGUCUGACCUCUGUGACGUGUGCCUCCAACUCUGGUCAUUUGGUGCAUACACACACAAACACACACACACAAAUACACACACACACAAAAUACACACAAACACACACACACAAAAUACACACACAUACAGUUUCCGCAGCUCUUAUGAGCCUAUUAGCAAAGCCCAGGCUCCUUAGAGAGGUGGCUGAUGACCCAUCCAGAGCACAUUAUCA
ensembl:lncRNA